ensembl:snoRNA LOC120095391 small nucleolar RNA SNORA70
CUGGAGCCAAUAAACUGACCAGGUUCCUUCCCUCAUGCAGUCCUGGUGUGCAAACAGCAGCCUCCUUGGUGGUAUUCCAGCCUGUCACUCAUGCUCUGCCCUAAGGGGCCUUGGAGAGGAUU